rnacentral:ncRNA from 1 species
AUUAAAAGUUAGCUAUUAAGUAUCUCUUUUUUAAUUGUUAGAUAAAAUUUUUAAGUUAUAUAAUAUAUUUUAUUUUGGUGUGUAAUUUUUUUAUUUCUUUUAUUUACAUGCUAAUUUUAUUUAAAUAACUUGGUUGCAGUAAAUAUAAUUAAAAAUUAGAUAAUUCUAGACUUAGAAAUAGGGUAAAGCUUUAGCAAAAAUUGUGCCAGCAGCUGCGGUUAUACAAUUAAAGUUGAAAAAAUUUAGAUCUGGUAUUAGUUAGUUAAUUUAAGAUUAAAAUCUUUAAGAUUAUAAGGUAAAAUUUAAAUCUUAUAAAUUAAUUUUGCUUACUAUUAACUAAGAAAUUUAUAAUAAAAAUUAGGAUUAGAUACCCUAUUAUUAUUUAUGUAAAUAUUAGGGGAGUAGUAAUAGUUAUAGUCUUGAAACUCAAAAAAUUUGGCGGUAUUUUAUCUUAUUAGAGGAACUUGUUUAUUAAUUGAUAUUCCACAACUAAAUUUUACUUUUCUUAUAUUACUUGUAUACCGCUGUCAUGAAUAUAUUAAAAAAUAAAUUUCUUUUUCAUUUUAUUAAAUUACAUGUUAGGUCAAGGUGCAGUUUGGAAGAGUAAAAAAUGAGUUACAGUAAAAAUGAUGAAUGGGAUCUAUUUAUUUAAAAAUAGAGAAAAAGGAUUUAAAAGUAAAAUUAUUUAUAGAAAUUAAAUGAAAAUAGAUUCUAAAAUAUGUACACAUUGCCCGUCGCUCUUAUUUAAAAUAAGAUAAGUCGUAACAUAGUAGGUGUACCGGAAGG